GAGGUACUUAUGUUUGUCAGUUGGAACC
rnacentral:sRNA from 1 species